rnacentral:rRNA from 1 species
CAGUCGCCGCGGUAAUACGGAGGGUGCAAGCGUUAAUCGGAAUUACUGGGCGUAAAGCGCACGUAGGCGGCUAUGUAAGUUAGAGGUGAAAGCCUGGAGCUCAACUCCAGAAUUGCCUUUAAGACUGCGUGGCUAGCAUGUGAGAGAGGUGAGUGGAAUUCCGAGUGUAGAGGUGAAAUUCGUAGAUAUUCGGAAGAACACCAGUGGCGAAGGCGGCUCACUGGCUCAUACUGGACGCUGAGGUGCGAAAGCGUGGGGAGCAAACAGGAUUAGAUACCCCCGUAGUCCCUGUCUCUUAUAC